CAGCUUUGAUAUUAAUGUGUUUUUUGGGUUCAUUGAGAACAUGGUUGUUGUUCAAUAAUAAAAUUAAUCCUCAAAAAUACAACUUGCCUAAUAAUUCUGCACUCCCUGUACAAGAGUUCCUGCAGCUCAUCAACCCUGUGCUGCCUGUGCUAAUGAAAAAACAUUAGACUGAGCAGCAAUGGGCAGCUGUGAUUGGCUGACCACUUUCAGCCUGUCACAGCACCCAUUAGGUAUGAAUUGCUGUGACAAGUAGGAAGUGUGUAAUCUCUGACCUGGCCAUAUCUCCAGUGGGGCAGAGCUAUGUGAAGCUAGAGACCCUCAUUCACUGUUAAACUGCUCGCAAAUAGUUUAAGACUGAAUGAAGGCAGCGUGUCAGGAGACUCCAGGCAAUCUAACCAGUUCAAUGCGAUGAAAUGAUUAUAGUACCUACAGUGUCCCUCUGAGAAAUGGAAAACAUUCCCUGCAUAUGUUUAUGACGAAUUCUGGGAAGCAAUGAAUCCAUGAAGACCCUCUGACUCUGAGGGGGUGGGUUAUGAUAUUUGCUCCAUGGGGGCUUGUGCUGUGGGGUGUAUUUAUUUAUUCUCGUCCCCAUACCAGUUUUGAUUGACUCAGCAAGAAAGUGCUUACAAUAUUAGCAUGUAGAAAAAAAUUAAACAGAAGAGUGUGAGCGUAUAUGUUAUAUUAAAGCUGGAGGAGCAUUUUAUUAAGCUCUUUUCCUUUGAAACAUGAAUGCAGGGCUACCAAACAAAAGACUGGAGAUAUAUCCACUCAACAGGUAAUAAAGUAGAACAAACAAAGUACAAUUAAGCUGUCCUUAUGUACAUGAAUGCAACGUAUAAAAUCCCUAAGAGACGAAAAAGUGGGGGAGAAGACGUUUGUUAGUGUAACUGGCCCAUUAUAAGUUUCCCUUUUUUAAUUUUGUAGCGAAGUUCAUUUUUAAUUCUCAUUGUCAUAGUUUGAAUAUACAUUAUUAUUAUUAUUUUCUUUUGUGGUAGUCUUUUAGACUGUCACUUAUUUUGAUUUGUAUCAUUCUGCAUGACAAUACUUUUUUACCACAUUAUUUUGACUAUUGUUAUCCUUUUAUUUGCCUUACAUUGUAUGCUAUAUGUCUUUGUAUUGCCAUACAAAAUUUUAAAAAAGUUACUGCUGCUUAAAUGGCUUAUUUUAGGUUAGUAUUUACAUAUUGGAAGCUCGGAGAAAAGACAACUUAAAUUGGUAUUUGCUCCAGCCUCUGAAAAGUCAAUGUUCCUCUUGUAUAUACUGCUCACAGGUGUUCCCAGAUUUCUUGCUAUUGAAAGAUUAUUUUGGGUGUUUUUUUGACAGUGAACAUGCAAGUGCAGCUGUUGAGUUUGUCCAUGGUUAAGAAAAGGUAAAAUGCUUUAAAUUGCAGAGGCUUUGCAGUCAUUUACACUGCUUGACUUCAUACUACACCUUCUGCUGCCACCAGAUUGUGUGAUCAAUGCCCACUGUUCAAUAAAAUGCUUAUAU